rnacentral:rRNA from 1 species
CCCCCUACGGGGCGCAGCAGUGGGGAAUAUUGGGCAAUGGGCGCAAGCCUGACCCAGCAACGCCGCGUGAAGGAAGAAGGCCCUCGGGUUGUAAACUUCUUUUAUUCGGGACGAAACAAAUGACGGUACCGAAUGAAUAAGCCACGGCUAACUACGUGCCAGCAGCCGCGGUAAUACGUAGGUGGCAAGCGUUGUCCGGAUUUACUGGGUGUAAAGGGCGUGCAGCCGGGAAGACAAGUCAGAUGUGAAAUCCCGCGGCUCAACCGCGGAACUGCAUUUGAAACUGUUUUUCUUGAGUACCGAAG